rnacentral:rRNA from 1 species
AGAGUUUGAUCCUGGCUCAGAUUGAACGCUGGCGGCAUGCUUUACACAUGCAAGUCGAGCGGCAGCGCGGGGGCAACCCUGGCGGCGAGCGGCGGACGGGUGAGUAAUGCAUCGGAACGUAUCCCGUAGUGGGGGACAACCCAGCGAAAGCUGGGCUAAUACCGCAUAUGCUCUACGGAGGAAAGUGGGGGACCGCAAGGCCUCACGCUAUGGGAGCGGCCGAUGUCCGAUUAGCUAGUUGGUGGGGUAAAGGCUUACCAAGGCGACGAUCGGUAGCUGGUCUGAGAGGAUGAUCAGCCACACUGGGACUGAGACACGGCCCAGACUCCUACGGGAGGCAGCAGUGGGGAAUUUUGGACAAUGGGGGCAACCCUGAUCCAGCCAUGCCGCGUGCGGGAAGAAGGCCUUCGGGUUGUAAACCGCUUUUGGUCGGGAAGAAAAGGCACCGCUUAAUACGUGGUGUUCUUGACGGUACCGGCAGAAUAAGCACCGGCUAACUACGUGCCAGCAGCCGCGGUAAUACGUAGGGUGCGAGCGUUAAUCGGAAUUACUGGGCGUAAAGCGUGCGCAGGCGGUUUGUUAAGUCUGAUGUGAAAGCCCCGGGCUCAACCUGGGAACGGCAUUGGAAACUGGCAAGCUGGAGUGUGGCAAANGGGGGUGGAAUUCCCCGUGUAGCAGUGAAAUGCGUANAGAUGCCG